CCUACGGGAGGCAGCAGUGGGGAAUAUUGCACAAUGGGGGAAACCCUGAUGCAGCGACGCCGCGUGAGUGAAGAAGUAUUUCGGGAUGUAAAGCUCUAUCAGCAGGGAAGAAAAUGACGGUACCUGAUUAAGAAGCCCCGGCUAACUACGUGCCAGCAGCCGCGGUAAUACGUAGGGGGCAAGCGUUAUCCGGAUUUACUGGGUGUAAAGGGAGCGUAGACGGCAGCACAAGUCUGGCGUGAAAUGCCGGGGCUUAACCCCGGAACUGCUUUGGAUACUGGGCAGCUAGAGUGCAGGAGAGGUAAGUAGAAUUCCUAGUGUAGCGGUGAAAUGCGUAGAGAUCAGGAGGAACACCAGUGGCGAAGGCGGCUUCCUGGACGGUAACUGACGUUGAGGCUCGAAAGCGUGGGGAGCAAACAGGAUUAGAUACCCGAGUAGUC
rnacentral:rRNA from 1 species